UUUGAAGGUGAUGAGGAAAUAAAAUUGAACGUGAUUAUUUACAUGUGUAUAAGUAUGGAUAUGGGUACUAAUAACCUAACUAAAUUAGUUAACACACAAAAAUCGACUAAUCGAAUAAAAAUCAAAAUCGGAAAUUCAAACACUAACUAAAUCUAAAAGGUAAACAUUUAAAAAUACAAACCACUAAAUAAUAAUCGAAUUAAAUUAAUAAAAAUAUAAAAGUAAAAUAAAU
rnacentral:lncRNA from 1 species